UACGUAGGGGGCAAGCGUUGUCCGGAUUUAUUGGGCGUAAAAGGCUUGUAGGUGGCCACGCCAAGUCGGAUGUGAAAUCUCCCGGCUCAACUGGGGAGGGUCACUCGAUACUGAUCGACUCGAAGGCAGGAGAGGGAAGUGGAAUUCCCGGUGUAGUGGUGAAAUGCGUAGAUAUCGGGAGGAACACCAGUGGCGAAGGCGACUUCCUGGCCUGUUCUUGACGCUGAGGCGCGAAAGCUAGGGGAGCAAACAGG
rnacentral:rRNA from 1 species